ACAUGAAGGUCAGUCAACAUGGAAAAUGUCAAGAACUUUGAAAGUUUCUUCAAGUGCAGUCGCAACAACCAUCAAGCACAAAAAACAUAUUGAUGUCACAAAUAUAUAAUUUGUACAUUUCUUUAUUAGUUAUUUGUUACAUUUGACUGUGUAAAACCUAGCAGUACUACUUAUUUGUCUGAGAGUGAGGCGGAUAUAGUAUAUAGUAUUUUGCUAACAAACAUGAUUAUUUCUCUGUCUGAAAUGAAACCAUCAAUUGAUAGAUUUUAAACAAAUACAGUACCUUCAGAAAGUAUUCACACUCCUUGACUUUGGAAUAAAUCAAGGGAUAUGAAUACUUUCUGAAAGCUCUGUAUAGGGGAUAGAUUGUAGUGGCAUCAAGUCUUACUGUAAAUGGAUACUUACUGUAAAGGGAAGCCCUUUAUCUACUUCCCCAGAGUCAGAUGAACUAGCGUUAGCACAAUAGCUGUUACCAUUGAUGUACUAGUCUCGCUUUGUCAUACCUCCAAAAUCACAUCGUUCUCACGCCUCCCUUGGAAGUCUGGGGAACUUUGUACUGUAAAAACGGGUUGAAUGGUCCGCUGGACCAACGUAACAUCCAAUUAAGAUUUUGAUUGGAUGUUACAUUUCAAGAAACCCUGCCCCCACAGGCCCGUAGAAGGGGUGCUGUGUGUUGUUUGUCACUGUUUUCCUUCCAGGUAGUUGUUGCCUAUGCUAGUUUCAAGUGCUAGUUUUCAAGUUAUCAAGUGUGGCCAACAGUCUGUGAUUGAUAUUUAUUGAAAUUGAAAGUGGAUUACGCUGGUAAAGUCAAACGUCACAACAUGUUCUAAACCACUCUGAUGACAAACACUUUUUUCCUUGUCUCCGCUUGUCCACAUGACUGCUGGCUGCACUUCGUAAACCCUGAAAAUAUUGUGAAGAUUGACCACUAUUUUGACACAAAAAACAGAGGCAGUGGGAAAAACUAUUCAGGUCGCAGUUGUAAAUGAGAACUUGUUCUCAACUGGCCUACCUGGAUAAAUAAAGAAAUGGAAAGUUGUGAAGGCACUUUUGCAGAUGAAGAGAGAGGUCCCAAUGAAUCUCCCAAGAGACUAAGGGUAUAUCCUAUAUGCCAUGGGUUAUAUGUGUAGGCCUACCUUUGUUAGCAAAUGUUGUAUACAAAAAUAUAGUUAAACAUCACACAUAAUGUAUAAACCUAUUACAAUUGGAGCAGGUCAAUCCUGCUGGUGGUCUGCCGGGUGUGCAGGGUUCUGUUUCAGCCCAGCAAUAACGCAGCUGAUUUAACUGAUCAAAUUGAAUGAGUUGAUAAUCAAGUGUGCUUUUGCUGGGCUGGAAAAGAAGUCGGCUCACCUAGUAGAUCAGGGAUCAGUGGAGCAAGGUUGGCCACCGCUGGUAUGGAGUUUUUCUGUUCACUUGAAAUUAUGCUUCAGUAAUUAUAGCCUACUUGUUACCACGUAAUUAUCUAUUGUUGUUUAGACUAAGAUGUCUAACUUUUCAUACGAGUUAGCUUAUUUGUGUGUUUUGAAGUGAUGAAGUGUUGAUUCUUUGAAGUAAAGUGUUUAAACUUGUUUUAAUUGUUAAACUAUUAUUCAAAAUGAACCAGUGUCUGUUGAUUAAUCACAUAUCACAAUCUGCAAUAAAUAGGGGAGGGGGUUCUGUCUA